rnacentral:lncRNA from 1 species
GAUAGGAAAAUUUUUAAAAUGGAUCGUAUAUGAGUUGUAAUCGAUACAAAGUUGCUCAUUAUAAUAAAUCAUCUGUAUUCUGAAUUUUUGUCAAUUCCGUGGCAAUUUUUAUCUAGAGUUUAUUAUGUUUACUGAGUGGCAAUGAGUUUUGCAUUCUGUGGGGAACUGUAACUGUAUGGGUUAAAAAGCUUGGUUUAUAACUUUGCAUAAAGCGCCCUUCACAGCCUGUGGCUGGCAGGCACUCUGAGUCCCCUUGGGUGUGGCUCUUCCUACCUCCUCUUUUGCCCAUUUCCUGUCCUCACUUCUUGUCUCACUGCCUCUCUGUUACAGAACUCUACCAGGAAGGACCGAGCUCAGCCCUAUGGAAGUUCUGAGACAAACUGAAAGCAAGCUCUGCCACUCGCUGUAGCAGUAAAAUGGGACCCCAGAUCCACCACGAUGUGCCUAGGAAGUGAAAUGACAGUGCCUUUAACUCUUCAAUGUGCGAAGAAACAGAAAAAUCUUGUUAGCUGCAGUUCUAAAAAUUCAGGACAUUUGCUUUGUCCUAAGAUGAACUUUGUCAUUUACUUCCACGGUAUGGUUUGACCUGGGAGAUCAUUUCAUCCCUACACUCUGAGAAAAGGAACCAUUGUUUUCAAGAGCCCUCAUCCAGUGGCUGAUGGAAGCAGAGACAGACAUCCACAGAUAUACGCUGAGCUGAAAUCGGGAAUUUAGUUGAAGAGAGUGAAGAAUGAAGAGCAAAGGGGUCUGUACCAGGUUGGAGAAACCCACAGGAACAGUUGACCUGAACAAGGGAGAGCACAUCGACCCCAGAUGCUGUCUGGGAGGCCAGUACAGUACUAAUCCAGACCCCUGAACAUGGAUGUCAAUAAGAAGGCCUCUGCAUUCCAGGGAGCCUCUGGUAGUGGAUUAGUAUUUUUUUCCCUGGUGUAAGAAGGGACUUUGAGAGCCCAUUCCAUGUGAAGGGAUGCACUCUGGCCCUGGACACAUGGGGAAGGGCCCAGGCCCAGCACAGGAAG